rnacentral:rRNA from 1 species
CUUGCCUUCUGCCAGAGAACUGGCGGCUCCCAGUUCUGGCAGUCGGUCAUCCAGCUGCUCCCGGUGCUUUGCAUCGGGACAUCCAUCUCGGUUGGAUCUGGAGCUACGACUCUGUUCUGGUUUGUCCGCUGGGUGGGCGACUCCCCCUUCGCUGUGCGCUUCCCCGACCUCUUCUCCAUCGCCGUAGAUCCUAGGAUCUCGGUUGAGAGGGCCCUUAUUGACUUAGGGCGCCUCGCCUUCCGGAGACCAUUUGGGCCUCCGGAAACUGCCGACUGGCAGGAGCUGCUUGACUGCAUUGCCCUCCACGAGCCUCAGGUUGACGCUGGCCCGGAUUCUGUUCAGUGGCGCCUAGAGCCGUUGGGACAAUUCUCCACCAAGUUCCUCUACCGGGCUAUCGCCCCCUCCUCCGCCCCGCCUCCCCUCACGGCGGUUUGGCCUGUCCGCCUUCCCCUAAAGAUCCGGAUCUUGAUGUGG